GUAGUGGCGGAGCGUCGCCCCGCCGCCGGCUGCCCCCCGAUUGGUCCGCCCCGUCUCGCGUCACCUGUUGUCAGGAGAACUGCCGCCCAGAGGUUGGGGCGGGGAGGGGCGCGGCUGUGCGGGACGGAGCGGGGCUGGCGCUGCGGGAGUUGGGCAGAGGGCAGGGGAAGCGGCGUGGGGAGAGGAGAGAAAAAAUAAGGAGGGGAUGGGGAAAGAGAAGGGAGUGAGGAAGAAAAAAAAAAGAGGGAAAGUGAAAGGAAAAGUGGAGGGAAACGAGGAAAAAAGCCUUGCAAAAUUGAAGAAAAAAAACAACAACAAAGGAAAAGCUGACUUAUUACCCCAGUAGAAACCAAGAAGAGUAACAAAAAACCGAGCAGCAGACAGGUGAGGGUAUACAGACUCACAUCUGCACACCUGCUUUACUGAACCAGCACAAUUCAAGAAGGCUCUGCUUUGAUGACAGAAGCUUAAACACAGUAAGUUACUGAAAACCAUAUCCCGUAUAUAAAUGGUUUUGCUAUUUUCCAUAUCAGAGAUGUAAAAAAACCCACGUACUUUUUGUUUGUUCGUUGUUUCUUUCUUAUCCUUCUACUGGGAUAAAAAAAAUUGCAGGACAAUGUUCUGUGGAAAUGAUUAGCUAAAAGCUAAAGUAAAUUGUGGUUGUUAACCUGCUGGUGGGCUUGCACUCUGUGCAAUUUAUCUAAAUCAAGUGCUGUGCAAUCUGAUGCCACACAGUCCCCCACUACAGCAAAGGACUGAGUGCCUGGCUCCUGCACAUCUUUUCCUAAGGAAGCCAGCUUUCAAAGGCAGUGUUGCAAACAGCCUUCUCUCUGCUGAACUCGCUGACCCUCCCACCUAAAUAACGUGCCUGAAAAAGAAGAGGUGUCUCUCCUGUUUUAAUUACACCAGAUUUUGCAAAGGAGAAUGAGAAAGUAAUUCCUCAAGAUGAAUGGUUGUACCUGGAAUGAUUACUCUGCAGAUGAAAACAAAACCAGUGAAGCAAACAAGGCCAAUAAGCCAACCAACAAACCAGUAUAGAAGAGGAAAUAGCACAGGAAAUAAUAUCUGUGUGUUUGUGUCAUGUGAUAACCUUUAAAAAUCUUGUACAGCAUUCCGUACAGAGCUUAUCAAAAUUAAAGCAGUAUCAAAGACUAUUUCUAAAAGGAUUCAUGCUGGUGUUAGGGAUGGGGCUUCUGCAUUUGAUGUGGACUGCUAUGUGAAUGUUACUCACAGCAUAACAGGCAAACAGUUUCUGCAUUGCAAUGCACAAACAUUUUCACGUCCCCAUCCACAUCUACAGCUCAUUGCAGA
ensembl:lncRNA